AGGAGGGAAGAAAAGCGUCCUGCAGGAAAUAGAGCAUGGUGGUGAGAAAUCCAGAGAAGUGAGAGGCUCAAGGCCAUAGACAGGUGAAGAAUUGCUGGGACGGAGGCAGCAAAAGGCAGCGGCUUCUUGGGAUUAAUGGAAUGGAGGAUAUAGACCGGAAGAGAUAGUCGGAUGCUGGGGGCAACACCAGGAGUCAGGGCGCCGAGGUCUUGCCUCUGCUGCUGAUGGAGAACUGUUUACUUCCUUUAUUUCUAAAACAAGGGAUUCCUGUCGCCAUGAAAGGCCAUUCAGUUAGAUCUAGUUCACAUUUUGUACCAGUUUUUUUGGUCCACACUGGGCACUUUGGUAUCAUGUGUGAUUACAGUAUAUAUAACCAACAAAAUAUGAUUGGGGCUCUACCUAAUAUUGACAAUAUUGAGAUUUAUAGAGACAGAACAUGGCAGGUGGCCCUGGGAGGAGAUGGAAAGGUGAAGGAGUUUGUUCUAGGUCUGGCUUUGCUACCAAUGGUUCACUCUGUGUUCACUAAAACCAGAAGUAUGUGUGUUUUAAAACCUGUGCACACUUUAUACACACAAUAGGGAAGGAGACUGUGGUGAACACUGUACACACACUAGGAAGGAGGCUGUGGUGAGCAAUACACACUUUACACACACACUAGGAAGGAGGCCAUGGUGAGCAAUGCACACUUUACACACACACUAGGAAGGAGGCCAUGGUGAGCAGCACACACUUUGGAGGCUGUGGUGAGCAGUACACACUUUACACACACACUAGGAAGGAGGCCAUGGUGAGCAAUGUACACUUUACACACACACUAGGAAGGAGGCCAUGGUGAGCAGCACACACUUUGGAGGCCCUGGUGAGCAGACUCUUUGGUCUCCAAAGAUUCUCACGUCCUAAUCUGAACCUGUGGUGUCAUGUGGCAAUGUGAUUUGAUUCAGGAUGGGGUGUCCUGGGGUAUUUGGAGGCACUCACUGGACUCACAAGACAGUUUAUAAAAGCAAGAUGAAGGCGAAUCAGAGAAGGAGGUGAUUGAUGGGGACAGGGCCCAAACAGAGCGAGCCAUAAUUCUGCCAGCAGCAACAAGAAACUAAUAUAGCGGCUGUUUUAGGUUUUUCCAGCAGAUGGUUUGAUAGCAAGAGUCUCCACGUGGGCUGCAUUAGAUGGGGCCUGAGCCUUGGUGUUUUUGAAGGUUCUGACCCAAGAGGGCAGCCUGGGCUGAGAGCAGCUGGCUUUAAGGGCCAGAGGUUUUGCAGGUAAAUGUGAUUCCCAGUUACCCCACCUUCCCCAUCACCUCAGAAUAGGAGCCAUGCUGAAAAGCUUCCUGAUACUACACUUCUGCCAUUUUGGAAGAACAACAAAGGUCAUUGUACUAUCGGAGUCAGAAAAAGACAGACACCCAGGAGGGAUGACAGUCUGUGAGCAAACCCAGAGCUGCCCUCCAGAAUAAGAAGCUAUUUAAGAAUUCUUGCUGUACUCUGCAUUUAAAAUAUGAACAAAUGGCCAGGCAGUGGUGACACACAUCUUUAAUCCCAGUACUUGGGAGGCAGAGGCAGGAGGAUCUCUACAACAAACAAAACAAAACAAAAUAGAAUACUAGAAACAAACGAACGCACGGACACCUGAGCACCCUUGGGAAUGCUAGGAGGCACUGGAGUGCUGCAGUGAAAGACGAAUGCACGGACACCUGAGCACCCUUGGGAAUGCUAGGAGGCACUGAAGUGCUAAACAAACGAAUGCACGGACACCUGAGCACCCUUGGGAACGCUAGGAGGCACUGGAGUGCUGCAGUGACGGACACCUAAGCACCCUUGGGAAUGCUAGGAGGCACUGGAGUGCUGCAGUGACGGACACCUGAGCACCCUUGGGAAUGCUAGGAGGCACUGGAGUGCUGCAGUGCACGGACACCUGAGCACCCUUGGGAAUGCUAGGAGGCACUGGAGUGCUGCGGUGACAGCCAGGUUUCGGAAACCUCCACUCCACGUUGCGCAAUGGACUCACCUGGCACAUGCGACCACAAGCUUCUGAUCGGAGUCACUGUGGCUGGGAUAGCUGGAGGCUGGCACACAGACAAACACACAAACAAGUCACAAAGGAGGAAGUACGCUGCUUUUACUUGUUUUGGAGCGUGUUUGGGCGGAGUUGUUAUGAGAAAGUCUCGAAACACAACUAAAAGUGAUUUGUGAUCUGGAAGAUUUUAAAAUCUGGAGAUUGUAAAGCUACUGACAACGGCGGGAUGCUGCUGUCACUGGAGAUGCUCUCUGCUCUCAAAUAUCUCUGAAUACCGCUGAAGGAGGCACACAUUUCCUAAUUGGGGAUGCUCUUUACCUGACAUUUUCAAAGUGUAGCUAAAAUACAGAGCACACUGGGGCAUCUUACCAUCAAUGUCUUGGGUAUCAAUUUUCAAGUAAAAGCUGCAGAAUUCCUCAGAGACACUAGUUUUAUGAACCACAGU